AUAUAGACUUACUAAACCGAUGCAAACUACGAAUACCAAUGAGUGCAGCAUAGGAGACACACUAUGGGUGCUAACAUCCAUGGUGGAAAGGGAAAGAACCCAGACCGUCAGAUAAGGUCCCAAAAUCUUAGUUAAGUGGAAAACGAGGUGGGAAGACUAAGACAGCUAGGAGGUUGGCUUAGAAGCAGCCAUCCUUUAAAGAAAGCGUAAUAGCUCACUAGUCUAGUUCACCUGCGCGGAAAAUAUAACGGGGCUAAAACUAAGUGCCGAAGCUACGGGCUUAUAUAUUAAUAAAUAUAAGCGGUAGAGGAGCGUUGUGUAAGUCUGUGAAGGUAUAUUGUAAAAUAUGCUGGAGAUAUCACAAGUGCGAAUGCUGACAUGAGUAACGAUAAGGGAUGUGAGAAACAUCCCCGCCGAAAAACUAAGGGUUUCUGUUCAACGGUAAUCGGAGCAGAGUUAGUCGGUCCUAAGGUGAGGCUGAAAAGCGUAAUCGAUGGAAAACGGGUUAAUAUUCCCGUACCAUAUGUAAUUGCGAUGGGGGGACGGAGAAGGCUAGACGAGCCCAGCGUUGGUAGUCUGGGUGAAAGUAUGUAGGUUUAGAAAUUAGGUAAAUCCGAUUUCUUAAGAAAACUAAGGUAUGAGACGAAAAGUCGUUGAUGUCAUGCUUCCAGGAAAAGCCUCUAAGCUUCAGAUUACAUAUGACCGUACCAUAAACCGACACAGGUGGUUAGGUAGAGUAUACUAAGGCGUUUGAGAGAACUCGGGUGAAGGAACUAGGCAAAAUGGCACCGUAACUUCGGGAGAAGGUGCGCCGAAUUAUUGUAUAACCUAUAAACAGGGAAAGCAAGAAUCGGUCUCAGAUACCAGGUGGCUGCAACUGUUUAUUAAAAACACAGCACUCUGCUAACGCGUAAGCGGACGUAUAGGGUGUGACGCCUGCCCGGUGCUGGAAGGUUAAGAGGAGAUGUGCAAGCAUUGAAUUGAAGCCCCAGUAAACGGCGGCCGUAACUAUAACGGUCCUAAGGUAGCGAAAUUCCUUGUCGGGUAAGUUCCGACCUGCACGAAUGGCGUAAUGAUGGCCACACUGUCUCCAUCCGAGACUCAGUGAAAUUGAAAUUGCUGUGAAGAUGCAGUAUUCCCGCGGCUAGACGGAAAGACCCCGUGAACCUUUACUAUAGCUUCAUAUUGAAAGUGGGUAUUAUUUGUGUAGAAUAGCUGGGAGACCAUGAAGUAAAAACGCAAGUUUUUAUGGAGUCAACAUUGAAAUA
rnacentral:rRNA from 1 species